UAUGCUUUGCUCUGCUCUGCUAACAUCCUUCCUUGAAAUUAUUUAAUGCUAAUUGAACAGUGAAGAUAGGAAAGUUAAAAUGCUUUAGUAGUUUCAUUGCAAUGAAUGCUUCUUGUUACAUUAGUCCAUCGUUAUCUUUAUGCCCUUUUCGUGUCAUUCUUUGAAACUUUCAGGAGUUUUUCAUGCUCAUCUUUCUCUCUCCUUUUUUUUCUGACAAUCAUCUUUAGAGAGAGAGAGAGAGAGAUAUCCAUGGAGUUUUUGCAACACCCGAUUUUUACUGCCUUUUUAGCUCUUUUGUUGUCUUAUCUUGUUGCAAAGAUUGUAUCUUUUGCUGUUUCUAGCUCAAGCCCUGAUGUUGAUUCUGUUGCUGGGGAAGGUGGGGGUGGAAAAGGUGUGAUCUUGGAGAGGGGGUUGGAGGUUAGGAGAGGGAAAGUGGAGAAAAGAGUGAAAUUUGUGGAUGAUGUUGUGAUCAGAAGGGUUGAUCGUUAUGAGGGGUAUGAAGGUCUUGAUGCUGAGGAGGUGGUUUCUGAGGUUGAGAGGGUUGAUCGAUUUGGGGGUGAUGUGGAUUUUGUGGAGAGAGAGAGUGGGGAAGAAUGUUGUGAUGAGAGAGGAUUGGGUAAUGAUGAAGUUGAAGGGAGUGAGGAAAUUGAAAUGCUGUUUGAGAAAGAGGGCUGUGGUGGUGUGGAUGUGGUGAAAAGUGUGGGUGAUGAUGAUAUGGUGAUUGAUGAGAGAGAAGGGAAUGAGGAGAUUGAUGACAGAGAAGGGAAUGAGGAGAUUGAUGAGAGAGGAAGGAAUGAGGAGAUUGAGGAGAGAGGAGGGAAUAAGGAGAUUGAUGAGAGAGAAGGGAAUGGAGGGAGUGAGGAGAAGAAGGUGAGGGAUGAUGAGAGUGAUGAUGAUUGGGAGGGAGUGGAGAGGAGUGAGCUGGAGAGAGGCUUUGCGGAAGCUGUUAACUAUGUGGAGUGUGGAGGGAAGGGGAGAGAGGAGGAUCGGCUGGCGAGAUUGGGGAGUGAUGUUCAGAUGCAGCUCUAUGGGCUGCAUAAGGUUGCCCUCGAGGGGCCUUGCCUCGAGUCUCAGCCCAUGGCGCUUAUGGUCUCUGCUCGUACGAAAUGGAAUGCGUGGCAAGGACUAGGAAGCAUGAGCCGGGAGCUGGCUAUGGAGCAGUAUAUUCAAGUCUUAUCGGAAAAUAUACCUGAAUGGAUGCACGAGCAUACCACUGAUGACGCCAUUCAGAGAAAGGCUGAUCCAAACGAUGAAAUAUCCGUUGCUGAGCACAUCAGGGGAUCAGAAACGAGCACCACUCCUGCUGGUGAUUCGAGCUCUACGGAUAAGGUUGAAGCUGUAUAGCAGGGUAAAGAUACUCGUGUAUCACCUCUUUUACCAGUUGUUACCUCUUCGGGUAAAUCUUUCGUGGGUGAAGGACUCAAGAUUUACUGCUGGAGCCAAGUUAAAUGGAUUAAUGAGUGUUCAUUUCAUUGAAUGCUACUAAUUGUUAUUAUGUGAGGGUUUGUGGUGUAUGUAUAAAUGAUCAACACUAUUCAUAUUUAUACUUGUAUUUGAUGUUACUCUCCAUGGAUGAUUGUAUAGUAUGUUGAUGGUAUGCUAUAUAUUUUCUUCUUUGUUGGUA